GUAGAGAUAGUUUAAUUGGUUAAAAUAACAUACUGUGGCCAUGUGGUUAAAAGUUCGAUUCUUUUUCUUUACC